rnacentral:misc_RNA from 1 species
GAAAUGCGAUGAGUAAUGCGAAUUGCAGAAUUCAGCGAGUCAUCGAAUCUUUGAACGCACAUUGCGCCCCGUGGCAUUCCGCGGGGCAUGCCUGUUCGAGCGUCAUUUCAACCCUCAAGCCCCGGCUUGGUGUUGGGCCCCGCCCCUCGCGGCCGGCCCCAAAGACAGUGGCGGCACCGCCUGGCCCUCAGCGUAGUACGCCUCUCGCUCCAGGGCCCGGCGGCGGCCGGCCAGAACCCCCCCACCAUGGUUGACCUCGGAUCAGGUAGGGCUACCCGCUGAACUUAA